UUUGUUAAAGGGCAACUAUUUUAAUUAUUAAACCCACAUAUUGACUUGCAAAUCAAUAUACUCAAUCACCAUCCAUUACAAAAUCUCAAUGGACAAGCCAUGGACACCAACCCUUAAGACGCCUUAAUAGUUUAUACUCAAUUUAGACUUCAUCAUCUCAAUUGCAACACCUUAUAUGAAAGAAACAUUGGAGAUCAUCUAGAGCACAACACCUCGUAUGAAAAAAGAAACAAAAUCUUGAGAGUUUUCAGAGGUCUAGAGACAAAAUGGAGUGAUACUUGGUGGUUUAUCAUUGGUUGUAGCUGUAACAGUAGUGGGGAUUUUGCAACAGGAUUUUCAAGAAAAGUGGAUUACUUGGUGGAAUUUUUGGACUCGACAAGCUCAAUUUCAAAGAAGAGAGAAUAAAGAAAGAAGAAUAUGUAAAGGGAGGCAGGGAUGCAACCAAAACAUAAUCAAUCAUGGAGAUAUAAAUGAAGGGAAACAGUAAUGGCGUGAAAAAAUUUAACCAGAACUUAAGUGAAUAAUUAACAAUUUCAUGAGAACUUAAAGAACUUUUUUUACUAAAUAAUUUAAAUUUUAUUUUGAUAAAAAAUAUUUUAUAUUUAUUAAAUUUUUUAGGGUUUCAAACGUUAGAAAAUUUAAAAAUAUUUUAUAUUUUUAUUAUAUUUUAAUUUUUUAAAAAUAUUUUAUCCAAAAGAAAGCCGCAGAAUUGAAACUUUUUUCAGUACAAACUGCUUAAUUUGAUUUUUAUUGUUAAAUAAUUUUAAUUUUUAGUUCGAUUUAAUUUUUUAAUAAAAAAUAAUUAUAAAAAAAAAAAACUACGCCAAUGGAUUUGUAAAACUAUGUGGUAUUUUCCUACCUAUAUAUAUGAAUGAACUGAAGUUUAAAAGGCCGCUACCUUAUCACAGAAGACAAAAUCACGCUCUCCUCUGCUUCUCUUUCUUUUCUUUGUCUGAGCCUCUGCUUCUCUUAAACCCAACCAUCCAUUCUCAGUUUUUCACUCAUGCCGGUUCUUGCCAUCGCUUCUUCUCCUUCCUAUUGUUUAAUUCUCCUUCUGCCUUUCAGAUAUAUAUUUGGUUAUGUCAUUCUGAAAGGGAUUUGAGGAAGGGGAGCAUAUCCAGCCUUAUUUCUUCUUCCCUUGAACCGUUGGUGCUUCUUCUCCUUCUAAGAGCAAGUGAUCGCGUCGAGAGCACUAAUCAAGAAAGAUUGAGCUCAACAUUACCACUUCUAUAAGCCAUGGAUUUAGGUUAAUUUGUCUGGCGAUGGCUUAUGGAUGUAGAUUUGUUGUAUUUGUAAAAGGUAUGCUUCCUCGAUGCUUGCA
rnacentral:lncRNA from 1 species